rnacentral:rRNA from 1 species
CCGAGUUUUCACUCCCAAACCCUUUUGUGAACCUACCUAUCGUUGCUUCGGCGGACUCGCCCCAGCCCGGACGCGGACUGGACCAGCGGCCGCCGGGGACCCUCAAACUCUUGUAUUACCAGCAUGUUCUGAAUACGCCGCAAGGCAAAACAAAAUUAAAACUUUCAACAACGGAUCUCUUGGCUCUGGCAUCGAUGAAGAACGCAGCGAAACGCGAUAAGUAAUGUGAAUUGCAGAAUCCAGUGAAUCAUCGAAUCUUUGAACGCACAUUGCGCCCGCCAGCAUUCUGGCGGGCAUGCCUGUUCGAGCGUCAUUACAACACUCGACUUCCCGGGCCCAGCCCGUGGAAGUCGGCAUUGGGGGAUCGGCAGCACACCGCCGGCCCUGAAAUGGAGUGGCGGCCCGUCCGCGGCGACCUCUGCGUAGUAAUCCAACUCGCACCGGAACCCCGACGUGGCCACGCCGUAAAACACCCAACUUCUGAACGUUGACCUCGAAUCAGGUAGGACUACCCGCUGAACUUAAGCAUAUCAAUAAGCGGAGGAAAAGAAACCAACAGGGAUUGCCCCAGUAACGGCGAGUGAAGCGGCAACAGCUCAAAUUUGAAAUCUGGCCCUCGGGUCCGAGUUGUAAUUUGUAGAGGAUGCUUUUGGCGAGGUGCCUUCCGAGUUCCCUGGAACGGGACGCCAUAGAGGGUGAGAGCCCCGUCUGGUCGGACACCGAGCCUCUGUAAAGCUCCUUCGACGAGUCGAGUAGUUUGGGAAUGCUGCUCAAAAUGGGAGGUAUAUGUCUUCUAAAGCUAAAUACUGGCCAGAGACCGAUAGCGCACAAGUAGAGUGAUCGAAAGAUGAAAAGCACUUUGAAAAGAGGGUUAAAAAGUACGUGAAAUUGUUGAAAGGGAAGCGCCUAUGACCAGACUUGCGCCCGGUGAAUCAUCCAGCGUUCUCGCUGGUGCACUUUGCCGGGCACAGGCCAGCAUCAGUUUGGCACGGGGGAAAAAGGCUUCGGGAAUGUGGCUCCCUCGGGAGUGUUAUAGCCCGCUGCGUAAUACCCUGCGCCGG